GAGAAUGAUGGGUCGGAUGGGGCGGGAUUGGGUGGGGUGCGAGUGUUAAAGGGAGUUAGUGGGCGUAAGGCGGGCGGAGGGGGUUAUAUAAGACGGCUGUGAAAGACCCGGGCUUAACCUGGGAACUGCGUUUGUGACUGUAUAACGCGAGUGUGGCAGAGGUGGGUGGAAUUCCACUUGUAGCAGUGAAAUGCGUAGAGAUGUGGAGGAACACCGAUGGCGAAGGCAGCCACCUGGGUCAACACUGACGCUCAUGCACGAAAGCGUGGGGAGCAAACAGGAUUAGAUACCCUAGUAGUC
rnacentral:rRNA from 1 species